AGAGUUUGAUCCUGGCUCAGGAUGAACGCUGGCGGCGUGCUUAACACAUGCAAGUCGAGCGAAGCAGUUAAGAAGAUUCUUCGGAUGAAACUUGAUUGACUGAGCGGCGGACGGGUGAGUAACGCGUGGGUGACCUGCCCCAUACCGGGGGAUAACAGCUGGAAACGGCUGCUAAUACCGCAUAAGCGCACAGAGCUGCAUGGCUCGGUGUGAAAAACUCCGGUGGUAUGGGAUGGGCCCGCGUCUGAUUAGGCAGUUGGCGGGGUAACGGCCCACCAAACCGACGAUCAGUAGCCGGCCUGAGAGGGCGACCGGCCACAUUGGGACUGAGACACGGCCCAAACUCCUACGGGAGGCAGCAGUGGGGAAUAUUGCACAAUGGGGGAAACCCCGAUGCAGCGACGCCGCGUGAGCGAAGAAGUAUUUCGGUAUGUAAAGCUCUAUCAGCAGGGAAGAUAAUGACGGUACCUGACUAAGAAGCCCCGGCUAACUACGUGCCAGCAGCCGCGGUAAUACGUAGGGGGCAAGCGUUAUCCGGAUUUACUGGGUGUAAAGGGAGCGUAGACGGCAAGGCAAGUCUGAUGUGAAAACCCAGGGCUUAACCCUGGGACUGCAUUGGAAACUGUCUGGCUCGAGUGCCGGAGAGGUAAGCGGAAUUCCUAGUGUAGCGGUGAAAUGCGUAGAUAUUAGGAAGAACACCAGUGGCGAAGGCGGCUUACUGGACGGUAACUGACGUUGAGGCUCGAAAGCGUGGGGAGCAAACAAAAUUAGAUACCCUGGUAGUCCACGCCGUAAACGACUCAAUAUAGGUGUUGGGGAGCAAAAGUUUUUGGGUGCCCCCGCCAAACGCAUUAAACAUUUCCACCCGGGGGAGUACGUUCGCAAGGAAUGAAACUCAAGGGAAUUGGGGGCGACCCGCACAAGCGGUGGAGCCAUGUGGUUAACCUCGAAGCAACGCGAAGAACCUUACCAGGUCUUGACAUCCCGAUGACCGGCCGGUAACGGGGCCUUCUCUUCGGAGCAUUGGAGACAGGUGGUGCAUGGUUGUCGUCAGCUCGUGUCGUGAGAUGUUGGGUUAAGUCCCGCAACGAGCGCAACCCUU
rnacentral:rRNA from 1 species